CAUUUCGCUAAGUGCUUAGCAUUUCGCUAAGUGCUUAGCAUUUCGCUAAGUGCUUAGCUUUUCGCGAAAUGCUAAGCACUUAGCGAAACGGUUCUUGUCUGUCUUCAUCACAGGUGAGACUGAGCUCAGGAUUCUUAAAGGCUCCAGUUAGAGCCAGGAACCCUUUGAUGGUUGCAAAAGACUUAGGUGGAAAGUUUACAUGUUUCGAGAGGGAUUGGCUACGGAAAGAUCUGAACGUGAUUGGGUUUGGGUUGAUCGGAUGGUUAGCACCUUCCAGUAUUCCGGCGAUCAACGGACUCUUUCCAGCAUUGGGACUGAGCAAUUAAAAUAUAUUUCUGUUUCUUUCUAAUAUUAAUAUACAUAAAAAAGUAAACAAAUAGGUUAGGGCUGGUUACUUGGCACUUGGGAUUGUUCUUGGCAUUGACUUUUGGACAAAUUGGAUUCAAGGGCAUGACUGAAGAUUACUUCAGUAAAUAAAUAAAUUAAUUCUAAUUAAGAAAAUAAUAAUUUGUAAAAAGUGAACUACUUUCUUUGGUAUUUGUUAAUGAAUGUUUAAGCUACUUUUGUUUCA